rnacentral:rRNA from 1 species
UACCAUGGUGGUAACGGGUAACGGGGUGUUAGGGCACGACACCGGAGAGGGAGCCUGAGAAACGGCUACCACAUCCAAGGAUGGCAGCAGGCGCGCAAAUUACCCAAUCCCGACACGGGGAGGUAGUGACAAUAAAUAACAAUACGGGGUUCUUUAGGAUCUCGUAAUUGGAAUGAGUACAAUUUAAAUCUCUUAACGAGGAACAAUUGGAGGGCAAGUCUGGUGCCAGCAGCCGCGGUAAUUCCAGCUCCAAUAGCGUAUAUUAAAGUUGUUGCAGUUAAAAAGCUCGUAGUUGAAUUUCGGGGUCAGUAGGUCGGUCGUGCCACUGGUAUGAACUGGUUUUACUGAUUCCUCCCUCUUGAAGAACUGUAAUGCCAUUAAUUUGGUGUUGCAGGGAAUCAGGACUGUUACUUUGAAAAAAUUAGAGUGUUUAAAGCAGGCUUUAGCUUGAAUACAUUAGCAUGGAAUAAUGAAAUAGGACGUUUGAUCCUAUUUUGUUGGUUUCUAGGAUUGACGUAAUGAUUAAUAGGGAUAGUUGGGGGCAUUAGUAUUCAAUUGUCAGAGGUGAAAUUCUUGGAUUUAUUGAAGACUAACUACUGCGAAAGCAUUUGCCAAGGAUGUUUUCAUUAAUCAAGAACGAAAGUUAGGGGAUCGAAGACGAUCAGAUACCGACGUAGUCUUAACCAUAAACUAUGCCGACUAGGGAUCGGAUGAUGUUAAUUUUUUAAUGACUCAUUCGGCGCCUUACGGGAAACCAAAGUGUUU